rnacentral:rRNA from 1 species
UACGAAGGGGGCUAGCGUUGUUCGGAAUUACUGGGCGUAAAGCGCACGUAGGCGGAUGUUUAAGUCGGGGGUGAAAUCCCAGGGCUCAACCCUGGAACUGCCUUCGAUACUGGACGUCUUGAGUCCGAGAGAGGUGAGUGGAAUUCCGAGUGUAGAGGUGAAAUGCGUAGAGAUGCGGAGGAACACCGAUGGCGAAGGCAGCCCCCUGGGCUGACACUGACGCUCAGGCACGAAAGCGUGGGGAGCAAACAGG